UCUCUCUGAAUCUGCGAACGGCUCCGCAUACCAGUUGUAAACUAUAGCGAGUUUGCCCUAGUGUCGGUCGCAAGCCAAUGCUGGGGUAACAGGGAUAACCAUGGUAAUUCUGAGGCUAAUACAUGAACGUAACCCCCGAUUGACCGGGCAACUGGAAGGUCGGGGAGCGUGUGAUCAGACGCAGAUUUUGCUGGGAAUAGAUGCACGUUCAGACCACCAUACCAAACGGUUGAGGUGUCCGACCUUAGGGAAGGCGCUUUUUCUGGGUGGCUCUCGCUUUGUGCUUCUGACCUAUCAACUAGAUGGCAGCGCAAGGGACAUGCUAUGGUUACAACGGGUACAGAGGAUAAGGGUUCGAUCCUGGAGAGUGGGCCUGAGAGAUU
rnacentral:rRNA from 1 species